rnacentral:rRNA from 1 species
AUUGAACGCUGGCGGCAGGCCUAACACAUGCAAGUCGAACGAGUGGCGGACGGGUGAGUAAUGUCUGGGAAACUGCCUGAUGGAGGGGUAUAACUACUGGAAACGUUAGCUAAUACCGCAUACCAUCAUCUGUGUCCAGAUGGGUUUAGCUAGUUGGUGGGGUAACGGCUAACAAAGGCGACGAUCCCUAGCUGGUCUGAGAGGAUGACCAGCCACACUGGAACUGAGACACGGUCCAGACUCCUACGGGAGGCAGAAGUGGGGAAUAUUGCACAAUGGGCGCAAGCCUGAUACAGCCAUGCCGCGUGUAUGAAGAAGGCCUUCGGGUUGUAAAGUACUUUCAGCGGGGAGGCGUUACCCGCAGAAGAAGCACCGGCUAACUCCGUGCCAGCAGCCGCGGUAAUAC